rnacentral:rRNA from 1 species
UACGUAAGGUGCGAGCGUUAAUCGGAUUUACUGGGCGUAAAGCGUGCGCAGGCGGCCCGUUAAGACAGGUGUGAAAUCCCUGGGCUCAACCUAGGAAUUGCGCUUGUGACUGGCGGGCUCGAGUACGGUAGAGGGGGGUGGAAUUCCUGGUGUAGCAGUGAAAUGCGUAGAGAUCAGGAGGAACACCGAUGGCGAAGGCAGCCCCCUGGGCCUGUACUGACGCUCAUGCACGAAAGCGUGGGGAGCAAACAGG